rnacentral:rRNA from 1 species
AUGCAAGUCGAACGGCAGCACAGGGGAGCUUGCUCCCUGGGUGGCGAGUGGCGGACGGGUGAGGAAUACAUCGGAAUCUGCCUAUACGUGGGGGAUAACGUAGGGAAACUUACGCUAAUACCGCAUACGACCUACGGGUGAAAGCGGGGGAUCGCAAGACCUCGCGCGGAUAGAUGAGCCGAUGUCCGAUUAGCUAGUUGGAUGUGACAACCCUCACGAUUGCAAUGGUCGGUAGCUGGUCUCAUCGGAGAGAUAGGCACAACCCCACUAAUCGACCCAUCCCAGUCCUAUCGACGCACGCAGCAUAGAAUAUUCUAGACUGCAACCGAGUCCAGUCUGAUCAGCAGCAGUGAGCGACGCUGCGGUACGGGUUAAACCUCACUUCCUUAGGAAAGGAAAGAACAUCAGUCACUCACUGCCUUGAUUGUCUGUACCGCACACAUACCUAUAGAAUACGUCGCUGCCAGCAGCAGUAGUAAUAGGGUGCCAGCGAGUCGCUAGUAAUAACUACUCGUCAUCCCGCCGUGCGUAGGGGGCCUCGUAUAAUCUCAAGAGACCCCGUGUGCUCCACCGUAAUUCCCCGCAGUGGAUACCAGCAGGGAGAGUGUAGAAGAGUAUUGUAUAACUCCACGGAGCCGCAGAGUUCCGCGUAGAGAGGGGGAGGAACAUCCGGGGAAAAGGCGAUUUUGUUCCCCCCACAUUCACAUAGAUACAUGAAAGUGUGGGGCCAACACGUUCCCAUAUCCCGGGAUAGUCCUCCCCAUCAUCGACGAAAUCAAUAUUUCGCCUUCAAUUCCAAUCACAUUAUCGAAGCUAACGCGUUAAGUUCGCCGCAUGGGGUGCCCGGUCGCAAGACUGAAACUCAAAGGAAUAGACGGGGGCCCGCCCAAGCGGUGGAGUAUGUGGUUUAAUUCGAUGCAACGCGAAGACCCUUACUUGGCCUUGACAUGCAGGGAACUUUCCAGAGAUGGAUUGGUGCCUUCGGGAACCGUGACACAGGUGUUGCAUGGCUGUCGUCAGCUCGUGUCGUGAGAUGUUGGGUUAAGUCCCGCAACGAGCGCAACCCUUGUCCUUAGUUGCCAGCACGUAAUGGUGGGAACUCUAAGGAGACCGCCGGUGACAAACCGGAGGAAGGUGGGGAUGACGUCAAGUCAUCAUGGCCCUUACGGCCAGGGCUACACACGUACUACAAUGGGAAGGACAGAGGGCUGCGAACCCGCGAGGGCAAGCCAAUCCCAGAAACCUUCUCUCAGUCCGGAUCGGAGUCUGCAACUCGACUCCGUGAAGUCGGAAUCGCUAGUAAUCGCAGAUCAGCAUUGCUGCGGUGAAUACGUUCCCGGGCCUUGUACACACCGCCCGUCACACCAUGGGAGUUUGUUGCACCAGAAGCAGGUAGCCUAACCGCAAGGAGGGCGCUGUUCGACGGAGACCCAGAUGCCC